CAGUCGCCGCGGGAAAACGUAGGUGGCAAGCGUUGUCCGGAAUAAUUGGGCGUAAAGCGCGCGCAGGCGGAUAGGUCAGUCUGUCUUAAAAGUUCGGGGCUUAACCCCGUGAUGGGAUGGAAACUGCCAAUCUAGAGUAUCGGAGAGGAAAGUGGAAUUCCUAGUGUAGCGGUGAAAUGCGUAGAUAUUAGGAAGAACACCAGUGGCAAAGGCGACUUUCUGGACGAAAACUGACGCUGAGGCGCGAAAGCCAGGGGAGCGAACGGGAUUAGAUACCCCCGUAGUCCCUGUCUCUUAUACA
rnacentral:rRNA from 1 species